rnacentral:piRNA from 1 species
UCAUAUAUAUGUAUAUCCAGCCUGGGAAGC